rnacentral:rRNA from 1 species
UACGUAGGGUGCAAGCGUUGUCCGGAAUUAUUGGGCGUAAAGAGCUCGUAGGCGGUCUGUCGCGUCUGCUGUGAAAUCCCGAGGCUCAACCUCGGGCUUGCAGUGGGUACGGGCAGGCUAGAGUGCGGUAGGGGAGAAUGGAACUCCUGGUGUAGCGGUGGAAUGCGCAGAUAUCGGGAAGAACACCGAUGGCGAAGGCAGUUCUCUGGGCCGUAACUGACGCUGAGGAGCGAAAGCGUGGGGAGCGAACAGG